rnacentral:lncRNA from 1 species
UCCGCCGCAAUCCGCGGCUCCACUACGCCGCGCUGCCGUGACCCGCAGCUCCAUCGCUCCUCCCAUCCUUGCCCGUCGAUUUGUUCCCUAAAAUACUCACCUUUCCCCAUCCCUGCCCGCGACGAGGCCGAAUGUGUACCACUCCAGCAUCCCCGGCACGGCGUCCAGCCAGAGGAAGAGGGAGUUGUGGGCGGCGGCGGCGGACUCUAGCCCUCCACCAGCGCCUCGAUGUAGGUGUUGGAGCCGCCGGCAAAAUUUCAAACCGGGAAGAGCAAAAUCUCACAUUUCCUUUUCCGGCAGAGACAAAGGCAGCUCUCCCCUCUUCAUAGGGUACGCGCAGAGCACACACCACUACAGGCUCUCUCCUAUGAAAUCUUGUCUAGCUAAAUUUAAUGGUCUAGCUGCUCCCUGCUCAAUUUUUGUGCCUGUGGUGUCUGGAGUCUGACUUGAAGAUCAGAUCCAGCUCCAUAAUUUCCAGUUUAUAAAAUUUCACUGAAUUUUACUGUAUGAGACAACCUGUAUAAUUUUUAGCUCCAUAAUUUCUAGUUUGUAGAGCUGGAGGUCAGAUUCAGCUCCAUAAUUUUAUUUUAUUUUACUGAGAGAGGUAAUGUACUCCCUAUCUCAGUUCUUCUGUUGCAUGGCCAUUCCUUAAAGAAACAUGACACAGCAAAAUUUAGAUGAACAUCCUCAAGACCUUGUUCUUAUUCUUAUUCUUUAAUCUAAAUUACUCACUGAAUUUUUAUUCUUAUUCUUAGUGUCAAAAUUCAGAGUUGGGAGCAGUUGUUGUUGACUAAAGGUUAUGCCUCCAAUGCCAAGAUUGACAGAAGUAGUAAGAGUAGAAGAAGAUUACCGUAUGCACUGAAUUAUUUUUGACAGUAGUUGUUGUUGACUAAAGGUUAAACCAUCGACCAAUUCACAUUGCUGGCGCCGCUGUCCCAUAGAAGGUCAACACAAUGCACAUCUCCACCGCUCCACCGCACAGCUCCAUCUCUCCUGCAUGUGGUCAGUUCAGUUCCACUAUUUCCCCCAUUCCAUUACAAUGUUAGUGUUGAUGUCUGUUGUGUUUACUGAAAAAAUAGUCUUUGGUGUGAUGUCUGUUGUGUUCUCCACUGAAAAAAGUAAUCAGAUUGUAGCACUGGAGUAGUCACAAGUGCCAUUUUUCCAAAUUUGCACUAGAGUAGGCAUGUGGUGCUGCUAUGUGUGUUGGAGUAACAACUCUGUAAUUGUAUGACACUGAAUGUUUUGGUCAAUUGAAUGUUGAUUGCUUGCAUCAUCUACUUUGAAUGAUUUAACACUGACAACUUCAGCAUCUAUAGACUUUGUGUUGUGGUAGCAGCUAAAAACCCUACAUCUUGUCUCUCUAUUUUUUGAAGCCGUUGUUUCAAUUGUUACCGAACCUUGUUAAGUUUUAAACUAAAUGAUUACUAGUGCAUCUAGGAAUCAUUUAAGUUCUGCUGCUAUAUGAAGUGGUGCUACUAUAUGACCAUGUUGGAAUAUGCAUUUACAUAGACUGACUGAUGGCCCAACAUAUUCUUGACUUUGUUACUGUAUUUAUCUAGAGAUGGGAGUAUAUCACCAUGUCCUGACUUUGUUACUCUUGCACUCACCUAUGCUGCUCUUGCACUGAUUUCAGCUCCCUCUCUUAGUUGUUCUGUUGCAUGAUGAUAUAUAGAUAGAAGUUGUUCCCUGUGGUCCAAAUAGAUCUGAGUAGGAAAAUGAUCUGAGGCCAUUGAGAACAGUGAUACUCUGGCUGAUCAUUACUGGUAUAAAAUCAAACUGAUCACUAUUGUUAUCAAAUCAAGCUGAUCACUAUUGAAUUUUAUGUAUAGUACCCAAUUUUCUGAAGCUAGCAGCAACAAGUUAGAUAGAGAGAGAGGGAGAGAAGUAAAGCAAACAAAAAUUCAAAUAAUUUUCUACUCUAUCAAGUAAAGCAAGCUGUAGAGAUGUCAUCCUCACAGUGUUGUUCCUUUUGAGAGAUUAAAAGUACUCCUUGUUCAUUUUGGCAACUAGAGGUUUAAAGGUUUCAUGAAUACUUAAUGUUCUCUGGUGCUAUACUUAAUGUUUUUAUCACUUUGCUAGCAUCCACAAAUUUAUGUUUCAUGUUUGAUUGUUUUCUUUUUUGCUGUGCAGGUGAGCCCACCCGUUGCUUUCAAUGCCACGAGCAUGAAUGAGCUAAGAAAAUGGAACGAACAAUACGACAAAGGUGGCAGCAGGAGUAUAUCACCAUUUGGGUUCGGCAGCUAACAUGAUUCCGGUAGCAAAUUUUCCACACUGUACCAAUGUGCUCUUAUUUAGCCAUACAGACUGAAAAUGUUUUUUUAAAAGAGACUUAGAAUGUUGGAGCGACAACAGUAACUGUUCUUGAUCUUACACAAUUGCAGCGAUAUGCUACUCUGCAUCUAAUUAGGAUUGUAGACUUUGCAUGAACGAUGUGCCAGGGACAUUGAAAAAUAAGUAAAUUACAGGGGAAAUUAAAUUAAGCUUUUAUCAAGAGAUCACCAUUCAAGUUCAAAAUGAAAAAAGACAGUCUCUCAAAUUCAGAGAUGACAAGUGUUUAUCUAAAUUUGCAGUAACUAGUAUACCAGUUCUAACAAUGUUUAAUUUGUUUGCCAAAUUUGUUGUAAUUCAGUUAAUUCAAUUUGAAAGGUCUUGUGCACUGAAUUUUAGAAGUAUUGCUUGUCAAAUCAGUGUGUAGAAAUUUUAGGCCCAUGUCUAGAAAAUCAUGUUAGUACAACAAUAUUCAUCUUGUUUUCAGUUUUAGCAGUAACACUUUUCCAUUUUAAGCUUUAGCUAACUGAACAUGCCACUGUUGCUCUAUUGAUCUGCUAUAAGUCUUGUACUGCUGGUGCUAUUUCUUCUGCAGUCCAUCUGCU